GACACGACUCUCGGCAACGGAUAUCUCGGCUCUCGCAUCGAUGAAGAACGUAGCGAAAUGCGAUACCUGGUGUGAAUUGCAGAAUCCCGCGAACCAUCGAGUCUUUGAACGCAAGUUGCGCCCGAGGCCACCCGGUCGAGGGCACGCCUGCCUGGGCGUCACGCC
rnacentral:rRNA from 1 species